CACCUCCUCUCCUCUCUUCUUCUUCUUCUUCUUCUUCUUUCUUUCUUUCCUUUUUCUUUCUUUCUUUCCCUUUCUUCUUCCCUGCAACUGUGCGUCACUGCCAGCAACUCCAGCAGCUCCAGCAACGUCAGUCGAUCACCACCACGUGCCAGUUGCAGUCGCACCACCUCCAUCGCGCACCAGCACGUCCCGCAGCUCCUCCGCGCACCACAGUCAGCCCUCUGCCAGGCCUGUC
rnacentral:lncRNA from 1 species